rnacentral:rRNA from 1 species
AAUGGACGAAAGUCUGACGCAGCAACGCCGCGUGAGGGAUGAAGGUCUUCGGAUUGUAAACCUCUGUUGAAUGGGAAAAAAAGGUAGCAAUACUUUGAUGGUACCAUUUGAGGAAGCACCGGCUAACUACGUGCCAGCAGCCGCGGUAAUACGUAGGGUGCAAGCGUUGUUCGGAAUCACUGGGCGUAAAGGGAGCGUAGGCGGGAUCGUAAGUUAGGAGUUUAAUACACGGGCUUAACCCGUGGCUGGCUUUUAAUACUGCGGUUCUUGAGUAUGGGAGAGGGCGAUGGAAUUCCAGGUGUAGCGGUGGAAUGCGUAGAUAUCUGGAAGAACACCAGUAGCGAAGGCGGUCGCCUGGCCUAAUACUGACGCUGAUGCUCGAAAGCUAGGGGAGCAAA